ACACACAAUAAUAAUAAUCAAUUUGCUGGGCAUAGUGGGGUGUGCGUGUAGUCCCAGCUACUCAGGAGGCUAAGGAGGGAGGAUCACCUGAGCCCAGGAAGUUAAGGCUGCAGUAAGCUUGGAUGGCACCACUGCACUCCAGCCUGGGUGACAGAGGGAGACUCUGUCAAUGAAUGAAUGAAUGAAUAAAUGAAUAAAUGAAUGAAUAGAAAAUGCUCUGAGCGAAAAGAGGAGAGUCUCUUUAUCUUUUUGCAACAGGCUAAACAAAAUUUUUAAAAAUGUAUAUUUGCCUCACAGAGAUUAUUCCAGGAAAAGAAAUGGCCCUCAGUGUCAAAGGAUGCAAAACUAACCUGUGAGUUCCUGGCAGGUUUAGCAAUAAAGGAGGAUGUUGCUGAUCUCAGUACAAGCAAUGUUAGAGAAAGGGGAAGAUGGAAGUGGACGAGGACCAGUGAGUGGAAGGUGACAAAUGGAAGCAAAGAAACCCAUCCAGACCAUUGAAGAUGCUUGAGCGAGAAGAAAGAGGCGGUGGAGGGAAUGGAAGCCCGAGGAAGUCAUUUGUUGCAAUAGGAUGCCUCAGAGCACGUGUAGGGUGCGGGGCAGAGCCCAUGCAGAGGGGCUGUGGAAGGCUGGCAGGGUGCAGGUGGCCCCACUCUCCGUCACCCUGAGGAAUAUGUGGUCAGAGUUAAAGCUCAGUCUGUUUCUGGGAUCAGGUAAGAGGUGAGCGUCCGGAGAAGACAGGCGGAUCUUCAGAUCCUGCAGACCUCCACCGCGCCCUCUGUCCCUCUUGACUGCUUUUUCUCCAUCUCCAUUGUCUGGCUCACAUUCGUGUCACUUUUUCAUUUCUCCCUACCCCUCUUUCCCAAAUUAUAAAAAAAGAAACUGUUUAAGCCACAAUAGAAUUAUCGUAGAAAUAAACCAUGGUCCUUCCUGCUAAAAUAUUCCACUUAGAAUUGUAAAAUAUUCUUCUCAAUAACUCCUGAAAGAGCCUAUUAAGAAAUUAAUGAGGCUGGGCAUGGUGGCUCACACCUCUAAUUCCAGCACUUUUGGAGGCUGAGACGGGUGGAUCACUUGAGGUUAGGAGUUUGAGACCAGCCUGGCCAAUAUGGUGAAACCCCGUCUCAACUAAAAAUACAAAAAUUACCCAGGCAUGGUGGCAGGCACUUGUAAUCCCAACUACUCGGGAGGCUGAGGCAAGAGAAUUGCUUGAACCCAGGAAGUGGAGGUUGCAGUGAGCCAAGAUGGCAGCACUGCACUCCAUCCUGGAUGACAGAGUUAAACUCCAUCUCAACCAAAAAAAAAAAAAGAAAAAGAAAAGAAACUAACAAAUGUAAGAGUGUCUAUGUUCCAAAUCCGGUGUAUUAUUUUAUGCAGCCUUUCACAAGCUCUAAAAGAUUCACUGUGCAGAACUGGAGGUUCUAGAGAAAGACCACGCCUCCUCCUACAGGUAACUCUUGAUUCAGGAAGCAGCUCUUGGCUUAUCCCUGGGCUUAGUGGAAUUCAAAUACCUGACCAUAGGACACCAAGGGCUUUGGGACCUGAAAGGCACAUCAUGUCCUGGUGACAUCUGAGUUACCUGGGGCAUGCACAGCCAGCCUCCAGCAUCCCAGGGAGAGCUGUGUAUGGGGUCAGGCUCAAGCAGGUCCCAGGGCACCAGUGACCCAAUGGGUGACUCAGACUCCCAUGGCACCUGCUCCUUCUGUUUCUCCCUCCACCAUAUAUAUGAGCUCAUGGGAAACACUGUGUGACCUCUUACAGAGGAGGAAAGUGCAUGGACUUCCAGUUUCUAGAACUGUGAUACAAUAAACUCCUGUUGCUUAUCUACUCCUCUACAGUAUUUUGUCAUGGCAGCCCUAGCAAACUACUACAGGGACUGUGAGGGUUAAGAUGACACCAAACAUCAAAUGCCACUCCCUGUUCCAACACUGAGACCAUUCCACAGCCUCUGAAUGACAAGACAGGCCUUCAAAAUCAAGACCACCUGGCUAGGUAAGAAGUACUUUAGUCACACCACUUCUGAACUUUCUCGCCUACCUGCAGGGCAGGAAUUUUUACCAUUUUCAAAUGAGGACACUGAAGCCCAGAGAAGUAGUGCUAUUUCCUGAUGGAUAAGAGGUGAUAUAUUUCAGUCCUCAGACCAACUCUGAAGUAGCAAGCUUCUAGUCUUAAGAGUCAAACUUGGCUGGGCAUGAUGGUUCAAGCCUGUAAUCCCAGCAAUUUGGUAGGCCGAGGCGGGUGGAUCACCUGAGGUCAGGAGUUCGAGACCA
rnacentral:lncRNA from 1 species